rnacentral:rRNA from 1 species
UGGUCCUACGGGGCGCAGCAGUAGGGAAUCUUCCACAAUGGACGAAAGUCUGAUGGAGCAACGCCGCGUGAGUGAAGAAGGGUUUCGGCUCGUAAAACUCUGUUGGGAGGGAAGAAAGAUAGAGGUAGUAAAUGGCCUUUAUUUGAAGGGAAUUACUUAGAAAGUCACGGGUAAAUACGUGCCAGCAGCCGCGGGAAUACGUAGGUGGCAAGCGUUGUCCGGAUUUAUUGGGCGUAAAGCGAGUGCAGG